rnacentral:rRNA from 1 species
UACGUAGGGCGCAAGCGUUGUCCGGAAUUAUUGGGCGUAAAGAGCUCGUAGGUGGCGUGUCGCGUCUGCCGUGAAAGCCCAUGGCUUAACUGUGGGUCUGCGGUGGAUACGGGCAGGCUGGAGGCUGGUAGGGGUAAGCGGAAUUCCUGGUGUAGCGGUGAAAUGCGCAGAUAUCAGGAGGAACACCGACGGCGAAGGCAGCUUACUGGGCCGAUACUGACGCUGAGGAGCGAAAGCGUGGGGAGCGAACAGG